GGCUGGUUAGUUCAGUCGGUUAGAACGUGGUGCUGAUAACACCAAGGUUGCUGGUUCGAGCCCCGCUUGACCCC
rnacentral:tRNA from 1 species